AUUCAUACAAUUUUAUUAUGGAAAUUAUUGAACCAAGACUGAGAAAAAGGAAAAAAAAAAAAAGAAACAAAUUCUUUCAGAGUUGUCUGUUACUACUACAUGGAGAAAUGACGGGGGGCUGCAGUUUCAGAGGUGAGGGAGGGUUUCGUAAAUUUCAUAAUUUUUUUUGGAGUAAUGAAAUGUUUGUAAUAUCAUUGAUUGGUUUAUCUAUUAGUAUCCUUAUAAUUUUAUCUUGCUUCAAAUUCUUAAAUAGGCCAUAUGCAUCAAGUGUUCGAUGAAAUGUAUGAAUUGCGUAAGCAAAUACUAGUUGGCUAAUUUUGAACAUGUUAAUCGGUUUACAAAUUGAUGUAUCAGAGUUAAACUAAUUUCAUGUAUUUUCAUUAUUAACAUAGUAUGAGUUGUUGUCGAUGAAGUGAGAAUAUUAUGUAGUGG
rnacentral:lncRNA from 1 species